rnacentral:sRNA from 1 species
GGGGAGUGGGUAUUGUGCCGUGUGUGGAGGGGGAGAAUUCCUACGGGUGGGUUUCCGAAUAUUGUGUUCAACUUUUUGAAAGCAGCUCGUGACCCCGAAACUGCAUCCCCCCCGGAGCCGGGGACCCAGGCGCCAGGCGGGCGGGUGAACCCGGCCAGUCCCUCCCAAUCCCCGCAACCCCCCGCCUCCGUGUGUGGGGGGGGGACCCAGGCCUGGAGGAAGGCUGGGCAGGUGCCGAGGGCUGUGCCGAAAGCGCUGAAAUCGAAAACCCUCGCCACUCAGGAAGAAUUGAGGCACAAGGAUUACAGAUGCAGCUCGGGAACAGCCCUGUACUCCAGCCAGUGCCUGGUCGCCCGUGGGCCCACCGGGCUCCGCGGUUCGCUGGCGGCGCCGCCUUGUGAGCGCUAAAGCCGGGAGGAGGGCUCAGGCAAGGCGCGCAGCUCUGAGCGCGCCCCUACCCGCUUCGGCCCGCAGCAGCCGGGACUUGCCUCUCCGCAAGUAAGGCUCUGCGCCGCCCUCUGAGUCCACCUCCAGGCCACAACACUGCCAGCGCUUCUGCAGCUUAGACUGGAAACACUAUGCUGCCUCCCGAAGCCGGGCCAGCUGUAAAUCAGUGAAGCAGCCCAGCUCCUCAAAGAUCCGGAGCUGGCCGACCCCAGACUGAUUCUCAACAGGUGGCUGGGCAGGGAUUGAGGCCCUAGCCUGAAAGAGACCUCACCAACCGGGUUUCCACAGUGAUUCUGGGGCUCGGCUUAAGGUUGCUUUUCUCUCACCCCCGAAUGGGGAGUCACCUGCUGAUGCACGUCAGGAGAGCCUGAAGAAGUGAGGUGAACACAGACACAGCACCCUCAGAGCCAACUGUGACUUCGGUUGCUUCUAGCUAGGAUUCGGAACAGGAAGGAACCGGUUGUCUUUGAACACCCUCUACUUCUCAUCAACGCUCCAGAGAUGGGUCCUCACCUCCCAAGGUGCCUUCACUCCCAGAGGGCCCGGGCUCUCUGCCACAGCCCAACACUGGGCUUGCGCUCAGAGAGAAGGAAUAAGUGCUCUGAGGUUUGAACUCUGAAGUAUAAACUUACUCUGGCUGUGGUGGCAUAGACUUGUGGUACGUCAGCAGUCCACGGUCAGCCUUGUCUACAUAGCAAGUUUAAGGCCAGUCUGGACUACAUGAGACCAUGUCUGAAAAAAAGAAAAGCCCCAAGUGGAAAACGGAAAGCAGAAAAGAGAAUAUUCCUAGUGCGACAAGAAAUGUUCACCUCUCUCGAUGAUUUCUCUGCAGAAUGUGUUUAUAUGCUACGUGAUCUGUGGAGAAUCACCAAGCUGUGGAGGAAGAGAGGAAUAUGUAGACCCAAGCAGAAUUCUCAAAGAAUUUCUAGACGCUCCGAACCCAAGUCACACAGGCUUUAAGUAUUGGUCAAUCUCCAGGAAUGAAACAGAAACUUACUCCACCACUCAAGUCCUGUUUCUGAUCGAGGGACUAAAGGGCUAGGCCAACCAGUGGUUGCCAUGGAAGCUGCAUUAUGGAGUCCUGUCCUGCAAGGAGAGUUAGAUUAGAAGGAGCUGGGAUUCUUGGAAUCUGCAGAAGCAGCAUGCUGGGUAGGAAGAACCCAGAAAGCGUGCCUCUGAGACAGUCAGUCUGUCCACAUACAAAAGGCAGGCACCCACAGGGCUGGGGGGGCUAUUAAGUCAAACCUGGAGUCACAACCCCAGUGCCGUCAGACGGUCCCCAACCCUUUGCAGCAAGGUAGACAUGUGUCAGUGUGGCUGAAAAGCUUCUUCUGUGAGGUUUAACAACUUUCUGGUGUAACUUCUGAGAGGACUGAUUGCUUAUUCAUGUGGAAGCAAGACGCCCAGUUCACUUCG